rnacentral:tRNA from 1 species
AAGCGAGAAGCAAAAACAUUGCAAUCAGUUUCGACCUGAUCUUAGAUAAUAUUACUUAUCCCCGCUUA